AUUGAACGCUGGCGGCGUGCCUAACACAUGCAAGUCGAGCGGUAACAGGUGUAGCAAUACAUGCUGACGAGCGGCGAACGGGUGAGUAAUGCUUCGGAAUCUACCCAAUGGUGGGGAAUAACCAGCCGAAAGGUUGGCUAAUACCGCAUACGUCCCACGGGAGAAAGCAGGGGAUCGCAAGACCUUGCGCCAAUGGAUGAGCCGAAGUCGGAUUAGCUAGUGGUAGGGUAACGGCCUACCAAGGCGACGAUCCGUAGCUGGUCUGAGAGGACGACCAGCCACACUGGGACUGAGACACGGCCCAGACUCCUACGGGAGGCAGCAGUGGGGAAUAUUGGACAAUGGGGGAAACCCUGAUCCAGCGACGCCGCGUGUGUGAAGAAGGCCUGCGGGUUGUAAAGCACUUUUAGUGGGGA
rnacentral:rRNA from 1 species